AUAAGCAUAUCAAUAAGCGGAGGAAAAGAAACCAACAGGGAUUGCCCUAGUAACGGCGAGUGAAGCGGCAACAGCUCAAAUUUGAAAUCUGGCCCUAGUGGUCCGAAUUGUAAUUUGUAGAGGAUGCUUUUGGUGCGGUGCCUUCCGAGUUCCCUGGAACGGGACGCCGGAGAGGGUGAGAGCCCCGUACGGUUGGACACCUAGCCUCUGUAUAGCUCCUUCAACGAGUCGAGUAGUUUGGGAAUGCUGCUCUAAAUGGGAGGUAAAUUUCUUCUAAAGCUAAAUACCGGCCAGAGACCGAUAGCGCACAAGUAGAGUGAUCGAAAGAUGAAAAGCACUUUGAAAAGAGGGUUAAAUAGCACGUGAAAUUGUUGAAAGGGAAGCGUUUGCGACCAGACCUUUUCCGGGCGGAUCAUCCGGCGUUCUCGCCGGUGCACUUCGUCCGGUCUAGGCCAGCAUCGGUUUCCUUAGGGGGAUAAAGGCUUGGGGAACGUAGCUCUUUAGGGAGUGUUAUAGCCCCUUGCGUAAUACCCUUCGGGGGACCGAGGACCGCGCUCUGCAAGGAUGCUGGCGUAAUGGUCGUCAACGACCCGUCUUGAAACACGGACCAAGGAGUCGAACAUUUGUGCGAGUGUUUGGGUGUUAAACCCUCACGCGUAAUGAAAGUGAACGGAGGUGAGAGCCCUUACGGGUGCAUCAUCGACCGAUCCUGAUGUCUUCGGAUGGAUUUGAGUAAGAGCAUAACUGUUCGGACCCGAAAGAUGGUGAACUAUGCGUGGAUAGGGUGAAGCCAGAGGAAACUCUGGUGGAGGCUCGCAGCGGUUCUGACGUGCAAAUCGAUCGUCAAAUCUGCGCAUGGGGGCGAAAGACUAUCGAACCAU
rnacentral:rRNA from 1 species